rnacentral:rRNA from 1 species
CCCUAGUAACUGCGAGUGAAGCGGGAAAGCUCAAAUUUAAAAUCUGGCAGUUUUUGGCUGUCCGAGUUGUAGUCUGGAGAAGCGUUUUCCGCGCUGGACCGUGUACAAGUCUCUUGGAACAGAGCGUCAUAGAGGGUGAGAAUCCCGUCUUUGACACGGACUACCAGUGCUUUGUGAUGCGCUCUCAAAGAGUCGAGUUGUUUGGGAAUGCAGCUCAAAAUGGGUGGUAAAUUCCAUCUAAAGCUAAAUAUUGGCGAGAGACCGAUAGCGAACAAGUACCGUGAGGGAAAGAUGAAAAGCACUUUGGAAAGAGAGUUAAACAGUACGUGAAAUUGCUGAAAGGGAAACGCUUGAAGUCAGUCGCGUUGUCUAGAACUCAACCUGGCUUUGCUUGGUGCAUUUUCUAGUUGACGGGCCAACAUCAGUUUUGACUACUGGAAAAAAGCCUUUGGAAUGUGGCACCUCCGGGUGUGUUAUAGCCUUGGGUUGUAUACAGUGGCUGGGACUGAGGACCGCAGCACGCCUUAUGGCCGGGGUUCGCCCACGUACGUGCUUAGGAUGUUGGCGUAAUGGCUUUAAGCGACCCGUCUUGAAACACGGACCAAGGAGUCUAACAUGCCUGCGAGUGUUUGGGUGGAAAACCCGAGCGCGUAAUGAAAGUGAAAGUUGGGAUCCCUGUCGUGGGGAGCACCGACGCCCAUACCAGACCUUCUGUGACGGAUAUGCGGUUGAGCAUGUAUGUUGGGACCCGAAAGAUGGUGAACUAUGCCUGAAUAGGGUGAAGCCAGAGGAAACUCUGGUGGAAGCUCGUAGCGAUUCUGACGUGCAAAUCGAUCGUCAAAUUUGGGUAUAGGGGCGAAAGACU